AUUCAUCUGAUGAGUCCUAAAUAGGAUGAAUCGAGCGUCCUGGAU
rfam:Schistosoma mattheei strain Denwood, Zambia genome assembly, scaffold: SMTD_scaffold0015083